rnacentral:rRNA from 1 species
UACGAAGGGGGCUAGCGUUGUUCGGAAUCACUGGGCGUAAAGCGUACGUAGGCGGCUAUUCAAGUCAGAGGUGAAAGCCCAGGGCUCAACCUUGGAACUGCCUUUGAGACUGGAUAGCUAGAGCACGGAAGAGGUAAGUGGAAUUCCGAGUGUAGAGGUGAAAUUCGUAGAUAUUCGGAGGAACACCCGUGGCGAAGGCGGCUUACUGGGCCGUUGCUGACGCUGAGGUACGAAAGCGUGGGGAUCAAACAGG